AUUAACCAGCUCAGCUCUCCGCCUCUCCCUGCUCUGUCCACCCUUCUCAGUUCUCCGCUUCUCGGUGCUCAGCUAGUCGCCUGCUUUAUACUGCGACCACCGCCGAACCAGCAACCCCGCUGCUGAUACCGCCAACACAGCGAUACAACGAUCGCCACCACCGCCGAACCAGGUUCGUCUUCUUGCUCCCUUUCGAUUUUCACGUUUUUCCGUCCUCGCCAUUCAUAGCGGGGAUGGGUUAUUUAAGUAGAUUUAUCUAUUAAAUGAUUUCCGUAUGGAACUGAUGGCUGACUUCAUCAAUGCACCUGAUGGUCCUGUAAGCAACUCAGGUUAGUAAAAAUGGGUUUGUGUGUGUGCGCUUGCGCUUAUGGAGUUUCUGAAUUUACUCAUAGAUGAUUGGAAUUGGAAAUGGAAGAAAGAGUUUUACUUAGUAGAUGACUGAGGUUGUAGUUGUUAUUGUUUAAUCUCAUAAUACUGAUUAUCUGAUGAGUCCUACAUUCUUUUGAUUAUGUUCAUGCUCCAUAAUUUCAGUUUUUUCUCAACAUUGUUUCUUGUUUUAUGAGGAGUAUAUUGCACUGGUGAGUUUAAUUUAUUCUUUUGUUGUCAGAACAAGCAAUUUCCUGAUCAUCAUUUUCCCUCAUUUUGUUUUACUGAGAGAUUCAUUUUCUUCCCACAUACAGUACUACAGAGUUUGUAUAAACCAUGUAUUGUUGUUUUAUGGCCGGGAGUUAUACUCAUGUAUGGUAUUGAUUUUUCGUAUAUGCAUAUACACUUUCUGUGUCCUAGCAGUUUCAUUAAUCAUCAAUCUAUUUAUCACAACUGUGUUUGCUAAGCAAAGUUCACUUUUUUUUUUCUCAAUUUCUUCUGUUCUCUAAUAAUAAAGAGUAGUUGUCUCCAUCUAGAUUCCAUUAUAUAUUUAAACUGCUUCUGUUUCAAUUAUUGUGUAUGUGUGUACGCAUUUGAAUUGAUCGCUUAGACACAAAAUUGAGGUUCUCGAGCACAUAUAAAAAAAAAAAGGGAAUUUCAUCAAGAUUCCAAAUGGACAGGCCGUUCUUGAUUGCUUCUCCUUAGAGGAAGCAAAGAUCCGCAGGAGUCAAGAGUGUACCCAAGAGGGUGUUCGUGCUGGUGCCAAGGCUACUGCAAUUGCAUGUGUUUCUAGUGCUGUUCCAACAGUGCCUCCAAAUGUUCCCCUCAUUUCUCUUGGUGACACUGGACUCCAAAUAUUCUCUCAGCUCCAUCCCCAGCCGAGUUGCACCUCAAGCUAAUGCUAUGGAGUCAUCGCCAUCCUCAACCGAGUAUUACCAUCUUCAAGCUAAAGCUACGGAGUCGCACAUUGUCAUCCUCAUCCUCAACCAAAAGGUACCACCAUUUUAGUGUCUGUUUAGGGUUUAAGGCUUAGAAAUCUUAUUUCAACUGCAUUUUCUUUUUUUUUUUUUCCUGCUUUUUUGCUUUGACAUUUUUGAGUAGAUAUAGAUGGAUUUGUAGGUUUAGAUAUUAAGAAAUAUAUAAUACUCCAUCUGAUUUCAGCUGCAUUUUGUUGUUUUUUCUGUUUUUUUUUUUGCGAGUACAUAUUGAAGGACUUGUAUAUCAGUCUGGUCUGUUGAUUUUGUUUUCUCCUUUUAUCAAUCUUGAUUUGAUGAUAAUAAUAUUUUAGCAGAUGGCUUCUAAAGCUAAUAUAAUGCACAUAGAAACCAUUCUCUGUACUUAAGGAUUGCAGAGCUUUGUCACAUUUUUUGUU